rnacentral:rRNA from 1 species
CUUACGUGAUCUGAGUUCAGACCGAAGCAAUUCAGGUCAGUUUCUAUCUAUAAGAAGUGUUUUCUAGUACGAAAGGAUCGAAAAACCACGGCCAAUAUUAUAAACAAGCCGCCCCCUAAAAAUUUAUGAAUACAACUCAAUAAUUUAUUAAUUCUCCAUAUACACCACAGAAUAAGGUA